UCAUCCAUCUGAGACAUCCUAAGGUAAAGACUUGGGCCUUAGAUUGGUGUCUUUUCUCUGCCAUGCUAUUAUUAACCCAAGGCACACACCGAGUGUACACUAGCGUGCUGCUCCAACAGAACAAUGGCGUCCCGUGUUGGUCUUUCCUCUUGUUUCCAUAAAUGCUAAGAAUUCAUUGGCAAAUCACAGAAUUCCGGUGACAUUAACAGUUAUGGUUCUGCCUUCUCCAGGUGAUUCGAAUUUCUGCCAGAAGUGGAGAGGGCAUUACUGAGAUGUGGGACAUAAUGAGGGAGUUUCAGCACCGAAUGCUGGCCAGUGGGGAGCUGGCCGCCAAGAGACAGACACAGCACAAAGUCUGGAUGUGGAAUCUCAUUCAGGAAAACGUCUUAGAACACUUCAAGACCCAUCCCAGCAUCCGAGAACAGAUUCCUCUGAUGGAGCGAGAGGUUCUCAGUGGAGCCCUCUCCCCAGGACGAGCAGCAGACUUAUUGUUGAAAGCUUUUAAAAGCAGGCACUAAUAAAUUUAUCCUGUGUGGUCACUUUA
rnacentral:lncRNA from 1 species